GGGACUUGUUUCAGCUGUGAUUGGCCCACCCGAUAUCAUGUGAUGCUUACACGUCACACAUCGGGUUAGGACAGCCUAUUUAAACGGCAUUUUGCUGCACACUCAGUGCAGAAUGCCGCAGGGUCAUAUGUUCAGUGAGCACUCUUGUCCUUAAUGCUUUGCAGUUCCCCUCCUGGAUCAAGCAGCUGAUUUCUUCUGGCUUUAUACACGCUAAGCUUAUUGUGACACUGCCUGCGAUCCUUAUAUAGAUCUUAUACAGAUAUUUUGGGAAAUCUACAUGAUUCCUUCCUUGAAUUAACACUGCAGCUGGAUUGCUCAUUGAUGUCCCUGGUCUUUAACCCCAUAAACCGUUAUAUAUGUAAGUCAUUUAUGCUUUAUGGUCUCACAGUCAUUACUGCUAAACUAAGUUAACCAAUAUUUUGGUCAUUAUGUCUUAAAUACAUAUAUAUCUCACAGAUAAUAAUAUGUUAACCCCUAGCCAUCCCUAUUGC